GACGAACGCUGGCGGCGUGCCUAACACAUGCAAGUCGAGCGGGGUUGAGGCGAGAGGUAACUCGAACUUCUACCUAGCGGCGGACGGGUGAGUAACGCGUGGGCAACCUGCCUCAAGGUUUGGGAUAACAGCCCGAAAGGGCUGCUAAUACCGGAUAUGCCUAUGGCCUCGCAUGGGGCUAUGAGCAAAGGGGAAACCCGCCUUGAGAUGGGCCCGCGUCCCAUCAGCUAGUUGGUGAGGUAACAGCUCACCAAGGCGACGACGGGUAGCCGGCCUGAGAGGGUGACCGGCCACACUGGGACUGAGACACGGCCCAGACUCCUACGGGGGGCAGCAGUGGGGGAUCUUGCACAAUGGGCGAAAGCCUGAUGCAGCGACGCCGCGUGAGCGAAGAAGGCCUUCGGUGUAAAGCUCUGUUUGGUAGGGACGGAACAAAUAGACGGUACCUCCGGACGGAAGCCACGGCUAACUACGUG
rnacentral:rRNA from 1 species